rnacentral:lncRNA from 1 species
UCGAUUUAAACGGCCCUGGGGGACUAUUGAAUUUAACAACAAAAUUUUUAUUAAAAUUAAAUAAAAUUCUAAAUUAAUUAAAAAACUUACAAUAUAAAAAAUCGAUUACAACAAAUAAAAAAAAAUUACAUAUUCCAUCCUCGUAGUGCGUAAAUUUUCGCAACCAAAUUGUUGUGAAAAGCUGUCGGGCCCAUUUUCAACGUAUCCUUGCUCAUGAUUUGGAAGUCGACUAGGUCGCGUUGAAAUUGAUUGAAAAUGUUCAUGCAUUUUGCCAUGUUUUCCAUGGUCUUGGCGUAUUUUGUCUUUCUCCCAUUUCGCCAACGACUCGACUUGCUUACCUUUUUCUUAUGUCGCUUGGCCGCCUUUUGGCGUAUAGGUCUCGCCGUGAUGUUCGAUCGGAAGAUGUCGCCAUGUACCCUUCAUCGGAGCCCUUAGAACGCUUCAAAUAAUGGAUGUCAUUGCUGGUUGAUGCGAAUCUUUGAGAUUCGCAAAUAAUAUGCCAAGCCCCUGGGUAUUUGAAUUGACCGUGUGUUCAUUUUGAUAAAUGAUUUGCUCAUCACUCAUGUCACUUCACUAAUUUGCUCGGCAGUUAUGUAUAUAGCCUCUCAAACCGUGACGUUCUUUUGGACACGUAAAAAUGCGACAUGAGUUGCUUGUUGUGGCGUGGAAUAAUGUUUGGAGGUUGUUGAUCGUUGUAUUUCUUCGCGAUUUCUCCCAAUACACAAAGGCCUUUUGAUCGACUUCCUUAAUGGCGUUGAGCAUUGCCUCGGGCAACAAUGAGCAUUGCUUGAUCGUCUUCAGAAGAGUAGGUAUCUCGAUCACUUCAUCAUCUUGAACAAAUUGAACCCCUCAAGACCCACCAGAGUGAAGGCGUUUGAUUCUUGAGAAAAUGACGAAAAGGCGCCGAAAUAAGAGUUUGAAAUCCCCAGCGACGACGCUUGAUUUUAUUGGUUGCUCAAUUUUAAUUUCUAUUUUUUUGAAAUGAAAAAAGACGAAGAAUGAUGUAAAUACAGAGUGAAAAAGAAUAGAAAAGAGUAUCGUUGAGAAUAAGCCAAUUGCUCUUUUCAUAUUUUCUCUCUUUUCGUUAAAAAUUUACAACUUUUUAUUUAUUUUGUUGUGUAUAUAUGAAAAUAUUUUUUUUAUUAUGACGUGUAAUACUCUAUAAAAAUGAGUAAUGUUAAUUUUCAUUAUCAAAUAAUUUAAAAUUAUUUAAUAACUAUGAUUAUUAUUACACUUUGUACAAAGUUGAAAAUUUACAUUUUUAAAUUUUGAAUUUUAUUGAGUAAUUGUAUUUAAUAUUUAUACUUACUUAUUUAAAUAUAUCGUUGAAUUUCAAUAUUCGCAAUGCAGAUGGGCGUACUAGUGAUCAUAAGAAAGAGGAAUUGAUGAUUGAUCUAUCCCAAUGUUAAUAUUUAGGUAAAGAGAAUGUCAAAUUUUGAGAUUAAUGUCCCUAAUCAGUGAGACACAGUAAUAAUUUAAUAUGUUUGGCAUCUGAUUCAUAAACAGAGUGAGACUUUUACACAAAUGCUACAAAUCCUAAAAUCAUGAUUAUAAAGCAUCAAUAAUUUUUUGGUGUACAUGAUAUGGCUUUCACACCAGCAACAUAGAAAUGAAAUUGAGAGAGAGAGAGAGGAGCCAGGGAAGAGGCAGUGCAUGGAAAGGGCAACAAAACCAAGUAUGGUGUUGAAAGGUCCAUCCCAUGCUCUGUCUCGUCCCCGUCUCCUCCUUCAUUUCCCCGCUCAUCUCUUUAAACUUUCACAAUACAUAUAUAAAUUACCUCUGCUCUGCUCUGCUCUUCUUCUUCGCCUCCAUUUUCUGUAUAUGCUGAAUAUGAAAUAAGAUGACAAAAAUGUCCUAGUCUUGCAAUGAUGAUCAAUUUGGGCCGCUACCUAUUUAUACACUAUUUAAUUUACUUUUACAUUGUGUUGUGUGAGGAUUUUCUGGUAGAGAAUUAUUGAUGAAAUACAACAAGUACUUCCUUCUCUAAUAGUACAAGUGCCAAGCAGCAUAGUACAAAAUAUCCACCCUUACUACUAAGACUAUGACAUGUGGUACUUCAUUAUAGUAUAGCUUGUACGUCACCCUCUUCUUUUACUUUAAACACUUCAAUAUUUCAACGCUACAAGCAC